rnacentral:rRNA from 1 species
GAUUAACGCUGGCGGCGUGCAUAACACAUGCAAGUCGAACGAUGAAACUUUAAUGAACCCUUCGGGGAGAAUUAAAGCGGAUUAGUGGCGAACGGGUGAGUAACGCGUGAGUAACCUGCCUUACACAAGGGGAUAGCCUUUGGAAACGAAGAAUAAUACCCUAUAAAACCAUAAAAGCACAUGCAAUUAUGGUCAAAGUGAUAGCGGUGUAAGAUGGACUUGCGUCUGAUUAGCUAGUUGGUGAGAUAAAAGCCCACCAAGGCAACGAUCAGUAGCCGGCUUGAGAGAGUGUACGGCCACAUUGGGACUGAGACACGGCCCAGACUCCUACGGGAGGCAGCAGUGGGGAAUUGUGCACAAUGGGGGAAACCCUGAUGCAGCGACGCCGCGUGAUUUAGAAGGCCUUCGGGUUGUAAAAAUCUUUUGUAUAGGAAGAAAAUGACAGUACUAUACGAAUAAGGUCCGGCUAAUUACGUG